rnacentral:rRNA from 1 species
UACGUAGGGUGCGAGCGUUGUCCGGAAUUAUUGGGCGUAAAGAGCUCGUAGGCGGUGUGUCACGUCGGCCGUGAAAACCUGCAGCUUAACUGUGGCGUGCGGUCGAUACGGGCAUCACUGGAGUUCGGCAGGGAGACUGGAAUUCCUGGUGUAGCGGUGAAAUGCGCAGAUAUCAGGAGGAACACCGGUGGCGAAGGCGGGUCUCUGGGCCGAUACUGACGCUGGAGGCACGAAAGCGUGGGAGCAAACAGG